UGUCUGUUCUCCACCUUGAGUUGUGAAAGAGUAACCUUAAUUGAGCACAGUUUGUAUGGAAGUGAAUUGGAAUAGAUUUGUUCCAGGCUGAAAAAUGAUUUCUCCCUGAAAAUAAGACAGACUUGAGAAUGUGGUAACAUCCAGCCAUCUGAAAAUGCAGGUAAGAAGAGCAGCUGCCCUCCACUCAGGCUAUAGCAGUUGACAUCCUUCAGCUUCCUCCUUCAGGUUCAGCAGGUUUUACAGAUGACAUGAGUUCCAGGUUUCACUUACCAGAAUCAAGAGGCAACUGGAAGCCAAUUUUGUGUGCUCAGGGAUGGUGGAAAACACUGACAAAAUCAAGCAACCAAAUACAAGGAGAAAGCUGUAAAACAAC